GAUGAAGAACGUAGUGAAAUGCGAUACUUGGUGUGAAUUGCAGAAUCCCGUGAACCAUCGAGUCUUUGAACGCAAGUUGCGCCCGAAGCCUCGGCUAAGGGCACGUCUGCCUGGGCGUCACGCAUCGCGUCUCCCCCAAACCGCCAAGGCGGAGGGGAAGGAAGAUGGCUUCCCGUGCCUCACCCGGGCGCGGUUGGCCUAAAUUUGGAGCCCGCGGCACUUAGCUCUCGCGGCGAUAGGUGGUGAACAAGGCCUUGGCCGUGCAAACAACCCGCUGCGAAGCUCUAUGUCACGUGCGCUCGUCGGACCCUUUGAAGUUGCCUUUGGUGACUUAAAACCUUUGCGACCCCAGGUCAGGCGGGGCUACCCGCUGAAUUUAAGCAUAUCAAUAAGCGGAGGA
rnacentral:misc_RNA from 1 species